AGUCGAGGGGCAUCAGGAAGAAAGCUUGCUUUCUUUGCUGGCGACCGGCGCACGGGCUGAGUAACACGAUAUCCAACCUGCCCUUUACUCGGGGAUAGCCUUUCGAAAGAAAGAUUAAUACCCGAUAGCAUAAUGAUUCCGCAUGGUUUCAUUAUUAAAGGAUUCCGGUAAAGGAUGGGGAUGCGUUCCAUUAGGUUGUUGGUGAGGUAACGGCUCACCAAGCCUUCGAUGGAUAGGGGUUCUGAGAGGAAGGUCCCCCACAUUGGAACUGAGACACGGUCCAAACUCAUACGGGAGGCAGCAGUGAGGAAUAUUGGUCAAUGGGCGCUAGCCUGAACCAGCCAAGUAGCGUGAAGGAUGAAAGCUCUAUGGGUCGUAAACUUCUUUUAUAUAAGAAUAAAGUGCAGUAUGUAUACUGUUUUGUAUGUAUUAUAUGAAUAAGGAUCGGCUAACUCCGUGCCAGCAGCCGCGGUAAUACGGAGGAUCCGAGCGUUAUCCGGAUUUAUUGGGUUUAAAGGGAGCGUAGGUGGACUGGUAAGUCAGUUGUGAAAGUUUGCGGCUCAACCGUAAAAUUGCAGUUGAUACUGUCAGUCUUGAGUACAGUAGAGGUGGGCGGAAUUCGUGGUGUAGCGGUGAAAUGCUUAGAUAUCACGAAGAACUCCGAUUGCGAAGGCAGCUCACUGGACUGCAACUGACACUGAUGCUCGAAAGUGUGGGUAUCAAACAGGAUUAGAUACCCUGGUAGUCCACACAGUAAACGAUGAAUACUCGCUGUUUGCGAUAUACAGUAAGCGGCCAAGCGAAAGCAUUAAGUAUUCCACCUGGGGAGUACGCCGGCAACGGUGAAACUCAAAGGAAUUGACGGGGGCCCGCACAAGCGGAGGAACAUGUGGUUUAAUUCGAUGAUACCCGAGGAACCUUACCCGGGCUUAAAUUGCAGUGGAAUGAUGUGGAAACAUGUCAGUGAGCAAUCACCGCUGUGAAGGUGCUGCAUGGUUGUCGUCAGCUCGUGCCCGUGAGGUGUCGGCUUAAGUGCCAUAACGAGCGCAACCCUUAUCUUCAGUUACUAACAGGUNAUGCUGAGGACUCUGGAGAGACUGCCGUCGUAAGAUGUGAGGAAGGUGGGGAUGACGUCAAAUCAGCACGGCCCUUACGUCCGGGGCUACACACGUGUUACAAUGGGGGGUACAGAAGGCAGCUAGCGGGUGACCGUAUGCUAAUCCCAAAAUCCUCUCUCAGUUCGGAUCGAAGUCUGCAACCCGACUUCGUGAAGCUGGAUUCGCUAGUAAUCGCGCAUCAGCCACGGCGCGGUGAAUACGUUCCCGGGCCUUGUACACACCGCCCGUCAAGCCAUGGGAGCCGGGGGUACCUGAAGU
rnacentral:rRNA from 1 species